AAAAAAAAUGGGCGCAACGCCCAAUUUCUUUUAAACCGAGGUCGCAUCCGGGCGGCUAUGACUAGCUCCACGAAACUGCAUGCCCAGCGACUUUGUGAUUUUAGCCAUUU
rnacentral:sRNA from 1 species